AAUGGCUUGGUGUAUUCAGCAUCGGCUUCCACGAUUGUUAAUUUGUGGUUAGCAAUGGCAAAGAAGUUCUCCGUGUUUAGACCUGCAUUAAUGAGUCUGAACAUAUAGGUCCUCCCGGUAAUGACAUCAAUUUUGUGGACAUCUGAAAUGUUGGGAGAAAAAACCUAUGAGGGGGAGAAAAAAAGGAAAAGCGGAGACAGAAACUUUAAAGUUCAAGCAGUUACAAGUUGUGAUAGAUUAUAUUAGAAGAGAAGUAAAGUCAGGUAUAUUUAUACUAGGUUAAAGUUAUCAGUCAUUUUGUUUUCUAGAGACUAUUAUUAAAACCAACUGUGAGGUAAUUUAAAGUUGUCUAGACAACAUAACAGUAUAUCACAAUCCUCGUCAUGAUCAGAUUGUAGUAUUGUUUGCCAUCUCAUAUACCAUUAGUGGAGCAAUUGUAGUUGGGGCCUGGAUGACCGUUAAUGGUGUAUGCAUCUGGUCUUGGAGGUGCUCCUCCACUUGCUAGAGUGGCUUGUUCAAUCUGUACAAGAUCCUUUAGCCAAUAUUCCCCUGCCAUUUUACCAUCCAAGUCAAAAGAACAGUAUUAUAUGUAGUCAUAAAACAUACCUAAAUAAAUACUCAAUUCAAAAUCAUAGAAGGAGAUGGCAUCUCUUUGAAAAGUUGGGUUCAAUUCUUUCCGGGAGCACUAUAGAAAUAAAAUCCUAAAUGCUCCAAGUUGAUGUAGGGGAAGUAAACCUUUGAAAGAUUGCCACAUGAGGAGAUUUAGCCCCAGAAUGCCUGAGGAUAUCUUUGGAUGUGAUCCUCCCCCCAAAAAAAAAAAAGUGGGAAGAACAUCUUUAGGUUACCCAGUAUGAUUGUUUGCUCUUGAUAGGGAAUCUUGAACGGGUAAGAGAACCCAGCCUUUGGAUAAACAAUCAUGGCACCAUAAACAGUUCCUCGGAGCCACGAAACAUGAGCAUGCCAGAAGAAUGUACCCUUCUGCUUCACCACUGUAAAAUUGUACGUGAAAGCUUGACCUGCUUGAAUUGGACAUUGUGUAAUAUAUGAUGGCCCGUCAUACCAGCAUGAAAGCUUCUGCCGAACACCAUGCCUAAGAUUUCAAAAUUUCAAUCUGGUGUUCAUAAAUCAUAUAAGAGUUAGUUUUAUGCAUGAGGUUUGACAUGGAUUACCAGUGGAUUGUGACAUUGAAAGGUGUCUGAUUGGUAACUUUAACGAUGAUUCUAUCAUCUUCUUGAGCAUAAACCACAGGUCCUGGAAACAUGCCAUUGAUUGUGACAAUGUCUUUGGAGCUGCAGAGUUUGGUAACUUUCUUGGUUUGUACCUGUAGACAGUACCAUCUUCAUUAGCUGAACAGAGAUGAAGUAUAAUGCAAUCCAAUGGAUGUUGGAUAUGGGUGUAUAAUGCAUGCUUAAAGAGUAAGAAAUUAGACCUUAAAAUCAUAGAACCUGGUUGGUCCUCCCACGGACCUUCCAUCUGCCAAAAGUUUCAGAUUGUAGAGAGUAGACAUUACGCUUAGCCCCAGAAGAAACAAGGUGACCGGGUUGGCCAUUUUUGGUUGUAGUGUUGGAGGUGGAGGCUUGAGGUAGAAGGGAUGCCCUUAAAAAGACCUGGUGGUCUCUCUGUGGGUUGAUUUAUUUUGUGGAAGGAAAAUAGAAAAAGAGAUUAUGUAGUUUCUCUUCUAUUUGUGAGCUUUCAUGAUUCCUCUAGCGUGGAUUGGUGAUUAUAAGAUGUUGGGAAAGUGAUUAUUCAACACGACCCCAUUGGUGGGGAAGAUUUCAGCUUGACUCGUGCAAAGCAUUUUGUGGAAAUCGGACUACAUGGCUGCAUUCUCCUUCAGAUUUUACUUGUAAUGUUGCUGUAAAGUGCUUGGGUUUCAACUCGCAGAGCAACCAUAUUUUGAUUGUCUUUUGUGACUCUAGUUUUUUGUGUUUUGGGGGGGUUGGUUGUGUUGAUUUCUGAAGAGGAGAUUAAAUGAAGCUCUGAAAAGACAAAGAUUUAGACAGCUCAGAACGUUGAUUUGUGCCUUUGUAUUUGAGGAAAAAGAUGAGAGCAAGGUAGGUCUCCUUCGUUGUGCUUUUAGUGGGCAUUGCCUUCUCAAUCCUAAGCAAAGUUGUUGCACGCCUUAACAUCCAAGACCACCAUUGUUGGUGAAUUUUACAGCACUCGCUCCCUCAAGAAGUGUUGAGAUUGAUUUGUACGUAUUUCAAAUAACUUCGAUUCAUCCACACUGUAAUUAAGAAAUGACAAGAUAUAUCGUGUCCUGAUCCUGAGAAA